CACGCUCAUUCUCGUGUACACCAUCGAACUGUUGUCAUUAUAAAAACGCAGUGAGGUGUGACGCACCUUGUAACUCAACAGGAAGCAUUACAAAGUCAGAAGAAAAACGUUUCAAACGACAAAAACAACGCACUCAGAUGGCAGCGACAUGGCGCCUCUUCCCUGUUGACGACACCUGCUCUCAAUGAUGGAACAAUGUAUAUUUACUGUCACAGGAACUGCCCAACUGAUGACACCCUUCAGUGGAUCGCUCAGACUUGGCUCCCAGUCUAAAGGUUCUGAAUUGACUCUUCUGCUGCGUCUGGUCCAGACAACGCUCAGCUUGUUCGGUUUCCUGCAGUGUUAGUAUUUCUAAAGUUUCUGUAGCUAAUGAGGAGCAUUGUUGCUUCAAUAUUUUUCAACAGAAUAUCACACAAAGUAUUUAGCCUUAAAACUAAACAAUUAUCUCAAUUAUUCAAUAUAUAUCAAGUCUGUUCUUUUCUAAAUGAACUAGAUAGCACUUUCUUUAAAAUAAAGCAAGUAUAUUACAAAAUAUUGAGGGAAAAAGGAACAAAGUUCCAAUGCAUCAUUACUUUAACUAAAAGCAAACAUGCAGAGCUAUUAGAUCUGUUUUUCCUAGCUCAACUAGACUGAACUUUUUAUGCCUUUAGAAUAAAAUGAGUAUAUAAUGAGUAUAUAAUCAAGUGUUGAAAGAAAAAGUUGAAAGCAAUGUUCCAAGUAUUGUGACACUAGUUCAGUUAAGAAGAACAAAGUUAUUAUCAUCUGUUAAAAGUGCAGUAUCAUAAAUAAA